rnacentral:misc_RNA from 1 species
GAUGAAGAACGUAGCGAAAUGCGAUACGUAAUGUGAAUUGCAGAAUUCAGUGAAUCAUCGAGUCUUUGAACGCACAUUGCGCCCCCUGGUAUUCCGGGGGGCAUGCCUGUCCGAGCGUCAUUGCUGCCCUCAAGCACGGCUUGUGUGUUGGGCCUCCGUCCUCCCCCCGGGGGACGGGCCCGAAAGGCAGCGGCGGCACCGCGUCCGGUCCUCGAGCGUAUGGGGCUUCGUCACCCGCUCUUGUAGGCCCGGCCGGCGCUUGCCGACACAUCAAUCUUUUUUCCAGGUUGACCUCGGAUCAGGUAGGGAUACCCGCUGAACUUAAGCAUAUCAAUAAGCGGAGGA